rnacentral:lncRNA from 1 species
GGUUUUCAUAAAGUUAGAGCUCUGCUCAAUCAGUGGCCCGCCCCUGUGAAGAGACAUUGGUUAUAAACUAUGAAACACACCCUUCUCUCCCUCCACUAUAUAAGCCCUUAACGAAAUGUAACCUCCGGUUCCGAGUACGCGAGGCCUGCAGCCUCUGCGUUAAAAGGGCAAAUAACUUUCUGUUCCGGGUACAUUAGGGCGACAGUCCGAUGUCAGAAGGAUUCAGAUAAUAACUACAGAACUAAGCCAACCUCAGCGUGAGCUUUGGUUGCGAAUGGUAUGAACUUUGAUCUCUGAUUCACUACAGAAGUGAUACCUCCUAGCCAUUGAGUUAGCAGCGGCCACUGUAAACGUGGGCUAGGAAAGGACGGACAACGUACCCAGUCUAACACGCAACGACGAUACUACAACGUAUACCAUUUACCACCUGAGACAUUCUUCUGAGGACAGCAAGAUCUCUGUUGGGCAACACGGCCAGCAUCUACGACCAACCUACCGAAGUGCAGCUCAGAAAUACUAGAGGGUGCAUGGUCCUGAGAGUGCUUCUCCCACCACCAAUAUACCGAAUGCAGGUACUAAAAACGACAUGAUCCUGAGAGGGUUUUUCCCACCACCAGUGUAAUGAGUUGGAAAGUAGACUGCCCACCCAAGCAUUGAUGAGGCCCGAAAGUCAUAAUGUAGCGCUGGAAGCAAUAUGGCUGAAUAUCUCUACCAGGUGACCAAAAGAACAAGAGACCCGAAACCUUAGUUCUGACUCUCUGGAGCAUUCACCAUCAUGAAUGGGCAGGCUCUGGAGCAAAAGACAUUAUGUUACCUUGUUGUUUUACACAAAUUCCUAUUGAAAAUUGAUACCUGGUAGGGGUUGGGGGUGUAGAGGGUAAAGUGGUUC